rnacentral:rRNA from 1 species
AUUGAACGCUGGCGGCAGGCCUAACACAUGCAAGUCGAGCGGAUGAAGGGAGCUUGCUCCUGGAUUCAGCGGCGGACGGGUGAGUAAUGCCUAGGAAUCUGCCUGGUAGUGGGGGAUAACGUCCGGAAACGGGCGCUAAUACCGCAUACGUCCUGAGGGAGAAAGUGGGGGAUCUUCGGACCUCACGCUAUCAGAUGAGCCUAGGUCGGAUUAGCUAGUUGGUGGGGUAAAGGCCUACCAAGGCGACGAUCCGUAACUGGUCUGAGAGGAUGAUCAGUCACACUGGAACCGAGACAAGGUCCAGACUCCUACGGGAGGCAGCAGUGGGGAAUAUUGGACAAUGGGCGAAAGCCUGAUCCAGCCAUGCCGCGUGUGUGAAGAAGGUCUUCGGAUUGUAAAGCACUUUAAGUUGGGAGGAAGGGCAGUAAGUUAAUACCUUGCUGUUUUGACGUUACCAACAGAAUAAGCACCGGAUAACUUCGUG